GGGGCCUUGGGGGUGAACCUGGUGGUGGAGGAAAUGGAAACCAAAGUCAAGCAUGUGAUAAAGCAGGUGGAAUGCAUGGAUGACCAUUACGCCAGUCAGGCCCUGGAGGAGCAAUGGGGUCUCACCAUUUUGCCCAGGCUAGUCUGAAUUUCUGGGCUCAAGCAAUCGUCCCACCUCGGCCUCCAAAGUGCUGGGGUACAGGCAUGUACCACCACACCCAUACCAGAACUGUUUAACAAAACAAAUAUAAAUUACCCUUAAUUCUA
rnacentral:misc_RNA from 1 species